AAAUCCCAGCUCUGCCCUGGGGGUGUUCCCCUUCACGGAAAGGAGAAGGAGGGUUGGAGCUGAGGUAGGGAAGUGUAGGACAAUUGCCUGCUGAGAGGGGCGGCUGGGACCAAGGCGGAGGCACGGAACAUCACCAUGAAAAGCAGUGCCUGGGGAGUUCUGGCUCAAAGAUAGGGAGACUGAGGCCCCGGGGCGGCGGGUGAUCUGUGCACGGACACUCUGCAGAGGUGAAUGUCUUUUGAACCCAAGACCCCUGCCUCCAGCCAACAGUGGCCUCUCUUGACGAAAGUCUAUGGCAGAGAGAGACUGGGCGAUGAUGUGGAGGUCACAGUGGGAGAGCCUGCCUGGAGUUCUUGGCUAUGAUCUUGGACCCUACGUGGAGAUGAAGACCCCUGACUAUAUGCUGAGAAUGGACUCAUGGAUGGAGACCUUGCAAGGAGGACAAGGGUUUCCUCUCAUCCCUACAUCUCUGCCUCCCCUCCAGGACCCUGAGCUCCCCGAGAAAAGGAAGAAAAUGUCAUCCCCUCUGACUGAAGGUGUCCCUGUGAUCUUCACGGGGUUAUUGCCGACCCAUUACUUUUCACACUAAUGACAUGCUCAUCGCUGUCAAUGCCUUUUUAUUUCUUGAGAAGUGUUUAUACUCUUGCAACAGCCUGAUAAGUGAAAUCAUCUAACACUUGGAAACAAGGCAAAUAGAUAACUGGUGUUCUUUCAAAGGCAAAUUAGAGUGGUGGCUAACAAGCCCUCCUAAGGGUCAUCUGACACUCCAGGGGAAUGUCACUUUGCUUGACUUAUUAUUUACUAUUGAUUAGGGCCCAGGCUCUGUAAAGAUAGCUGUUAGCUGGUAGAAAACUGAUAAGUUGCCAAUUGUUUUUGUCUGGUUGAAAUGCAAAUGAUCACUUCUCAAUAGAAAAGAUAACCCCAGCAUUAUGAUUUUAUUGCUGCAUAGAACCUUAAUCAGUUUUGCAUCUAACUUAGCAUACUUAGGAAUAGUCCAGAAUUCUUGGGGGGGGGCGGGGUUUGGGUUAUUGUUUUUGUUUUUCCUGAAUCUUUCCACCUAUAGUUAGAUAUAAGGUUUUUGUCCUCAUACCCUUCAUCUAACUAGUUUUGUUCCUUCAUUUAUAAGCUACAUAAAAUUAACAUGUGCUCACUAUAUAUUUCUACAUAGAAUUGUGUAUUUCAUGUUUUGAAAGCUAUACUUUGAGAAGAUUUUCACAGUAUUUGGUUUUUCCUCGUGCUAACUCUGCCACUCUCUGUGUGACCUUGGGCAAGUCUUUCUAUCUCUGGUCUUAAGUUAUUUCAUAUGUAAAACAGGAGCAACCAGGCUGACCAUUCUGGCUCUGACAUAAUAUUUCUAACUCCUCUUGCGGGGAAGCAAGACUAACACAAUGCAAUCAAAGAUGUUGCUGGAAGGGAUGUUACAGACCAGCCUUCCUGCUUCCCACCAUGCCUUCAUCUUGACAGAAGGAGAAACUGAGGCUCAGAGGGGUUAGGUAACUUGCCCAAGGUCACACAGAUAUUAUUCAUAAUGAUGACUUAUUUUGCUGUUGUGUUUGACAGUAUAAACUUCCUCAUAUAUUCCUAUAAUCCCUCAGCAGCCCACUGAGCAGGCUGUAUCAUCCCCAUUUAACAGAUAAAGAAACUGAGGCCCAGCAAAGUGAUGUGGCUUGCCCAAGGUCAUAGGGAGAUUUCAGCACCCCCAAGCCCCUGAAUCCUGGGGACCACCCUUAAGUAUCAUUGUCUGGAGUUUUUGUAUAUAUGUGUGAUGUCAUACAAGACGGCAAAUGAAAAAGGAGUCCCAAAGCCUUGAAAACUCUGGCCCUAGACUCUCAUGACCUGCCCAGGUACAACAGCCCUCCCUCUUCUCCUCUUCUUCUCCUCCUCCCUCUGGCAAAAUUCUCAGGAAAAAAUUUUAAAAAACCAUGGUGGGAGUUCCCAUCGUGGCACAGCAGAAAUGAAUCCUACUAGGAACCAUGAGGUUGCAGGUUCGAUCCCCGGUCUGGCUCAGUGGGUUAAGGAUCGGGCGUUGCCGUGAGCUGUGCUGUAGGUUGCAGAUGUGGCUUGGAUCCCAUGUUGCUGUGGCUGUGGCAUAGGCCGGCGGCUACAACUCCGAUUCAACCCCUGGGAACCCUAGAAAAAUACAAAAGACAAAAAAAAAAAACCCCAAACAAACAAAAAAAACCCGUGGUCAUGAGAAGAAGCAGAAAGACAUGGUCCAUCCAGACCUGAACACCUUGGUCUCUAGCCUGGGGGCGACAGAAUCACUCAAUCUAAAGAAAAGCAUUCUCUGAGUACCUGAUGUGGCGCAAUGGGAUCAGCAACAUCUCUGGACUGCUGGGACGAAAGUUCUAUCCUCAGCCCGGCACAGUGGGUUAAGGAUCCAGCAUUGCCACAGCUGUGGUGUGGGUCAGCACAGUGGAUCUCAUCCCAGGAACUCCAUAUGCUGCAAGACAGCCAAAAAAGAAAAAAAUUAAAAUUAAAAAGAAAUUAAAGAAAAGCAUUUUCAGGGUCCAAGCUGGCAAUGACUGCUUGAGCUGUGUUGACAGGUAGUGAGCACCCCAUCAGUGAGAGUGAGCAAGGCUAGAUGAUCCAUCCAAAUGUUAACAGCAAUUCUCUAGAUGGACUUUUGUCACUGAUUUUUUUUUUCUUUUUAGGGCCACUCUUGCUGCAUAUGGAAAUUCCCAGGCUAGGGACUGAAUCAGAGCUGUAGCUGCCAGCCUACACCACAGCCACAGCAACACCAGAUCCCAGCCUCAUCUUCGACCUACACCACAACAUAUGGCAAUGCCGGAUCCUUAACCCGCUGAUCGAGGCCAGGGAUAGAACCCACGGCCUCAUGGAUACUAGUCAGGUUCAUAACCCACUGAGCCAUAGUGGGAAUUCCUUGUCACUGAUUUAAAAAUGUUGAUAAAAGCUAAUUAUUAAGUGUUCACCGUGUGUCCCAUGUUUUGUUUUGUUUUCGUUAGAUUUUUAUUUUUUUCUCUUAUAGCUGUGUCCCAUGUUUUGUAUGUGUAUUAUAUUAUCAAGACUUUAUAAUAAUCCAAAGAGGUAGAAUCUGCUGUCCCCAAUUUAUAAAUAAAAAACUGAGGCCCCAGGAGGUCA
rnacentral:lncRNA from 1 species